GGGCCGUUAGCUCAGUUGGUAGAGCAGCUGACUCUUAAUCAGCGGGUCGAAGGUUCAACUCCUUCACGGCUCACCA
rnacentral:tRNA from 2 species